rnacentral:rRNA from 1 species
CCUACGGGAGGCAGCAGUGGGGAAUAUUGGACAAUGGGGGGAACCCUGAUCCAGCCAUGCCGCGUGUGUGAAGAAGGCCCUCGGGUUGUAAAGCACUUUCAGUGAGGAAGAACGCCUGGUGGUUAAUACCCAUCAGGAAAGACAUCACUCACAGAAGAAGCACCGGCUAACUCCGUGCCAGCAGCCGCGGUAAUACGGAGGGUGCGAGCGUUAAUCGGAAUUACUGGGCGUAAAGCGCGCGUGGGUGGCUUGAUAAGCCGGUUGUGAAAGCCCCGGGCUCAACCUGGGAACGGCAUCCGGAACUGUCAAGCUAGAGUGCAGGAGAGGAAGGUAGAAUUCCCGGUGUAGCGGUGAAAUGCGUAGAGAUCGGGAGGAAUACCAGUGGCGAAGGCGGCCUUCUGGACUGACACUGACACUGAGGUGCGAAAGCGUGGGUAGCAAACAGGAUUAGAUACCCCUGUAGUC